UAUAUAAGUACACUUUCCCUGGAUGGGACCAGACAGACCUCUCGCAUUACUACAAAGAAAGUCAAAGUUGAAUUUCAAGAUGUUGAAGGCAGUGCUGCUGGCAGCCUUAGUGUUCAUGACCAUCUUUAUGCUGGCUUCUUCACAAACCUUCGGACCGCCUGGUUUGGGAUUAAAUGGGGGAUAUCCCCUCUAUCCCCCUACUGUCGCCGAACGGCCGAACCCCUUACUUAACUUCUGGCUUUAUCGCCAUUUUUUUGACUAGCUGUGUGUUUUCCCCGACAUUUUACGGCCACCUGUCCAGAGUCACGUGACGACUGGUGACGUGUCAUCAAUCUGCGCCGGGAGGGCGAUAAACAGGUGCUUCAUCAUGGACCUGACGGCACUCUGUGGCCCUGUUUCCCUUCAGAUGUGUUAGCAACAUCCCAGUCCUACCGGUUAUAAGGCAAGCUAUGGAUGCAAGCUGCACAUCGCUGUGUUUACUACUUGCUUGGCUUGUUUAUUAAAGAAGUGCAAAUCCUUU